rnacentral:rRNA from 1 species
GACGAACGCUGGCGGCGUGCUUAACACAUGCAAGUCGAACGAAGAGCGAUGGAAGCUUGCUUCUAUCAAUCUUAGUGGCGAACGGGUGAGUAACGCGUAAUCAACCUGCCCUUCAGAGGGGGACAACAGUUGGAAACGACUGCUAAUACCGCAUACGAUCUAAUCUCGGCAUCGAGGAUAGAUGAAAGGUGGCCUCUACAUGUAAGCUAUCACUGAAGGAGGGGAUUGCGUCUGAUUAGCUAGUUGGAGGGGUAACGGCCCACCAAGGCGAUGAUCAGUAGCCGGUCUGAGAGGAUGAACGGCCACAUUGGGACUGAGACACGGCCCAGACUCCUACGGGAGGCAGCAGUGGGGAAUCUUCCGCAAUGGACGGAAGUCUGACGGAGCAACGCCGCGGGAGUGAUGACGGCCUUCGGGUUGUAAAGCUCUGUUAGUCGGGACGAAAGGCCUUCUUGCGAAUAGUGAGAAGGAUUGACGGUACCGGAAUAGAAAGCCACGGCUAACUACGUG